rnacentral:tRNA from 1 species
GGGCGGUUGGCGCAGCGGUAGCGCGCUUCCUUGACACGGAAGAGGUCGCCGGUUCAAACCCGGCAUCGCCCACCA